ensembl:lncRNA CFAP20DC-AS1 CFAP20DC antisense RNA 1
AUUCAUAUAUAAUUAACUACCACGGAGCACAAGCAGCUUUGCUUUUCCAUGAUCAAGCUGCUAGAGAUUUUGGGGUGAGGGAGCGAAAUGAAGGCUAAAUAAAAGAACCGGAGAUAAGAUAAUCCUGCCAUGUUAAAAGGAAUUUUGAAAUUGCCUGGUGGACUAGAAAUGAAGCAAAACACAGAAAAACCUGAGAUGAAAGAUGGAGAGUGCUUAAGGGGAACUAGUACUGGCUUCCAUGCCCAGCUGCAUCACUGCCCCUUGAGCUUCCCGUGACAUCCCAAAAAACUUGCGAUUGAAGCUCCCGCUGUGCUUUAAUUCACUCCAGUUGAUGUGGUGAACAGAAAUGAGUCCAAAUGACACUAGUCCCACCCCACAACUUUCGCAACUUUACUGCUAAAAAUUAACUCAAGUGCCUUUUGGCAAAUGGAAUAUACACUGCUGAUUCUGAUAUUGUAAUCUUUAGUGACCUAUGACAUGGUUCCAUCACCGAGCUGAGGAGAAACAAACAAAACAAAAAACCCUACAUCCAUUUUUUGGUUGUUGUUGGAUACCAGAAAAGUCUCAUAC